GCCGUUCAGUUAAAACACCGAACUCAUUCAACGAGUCGCUCUUGAUCGUGCUCUCAGCCAAAAAAAAAAAAAAAGUUUCUACAAACAAAAAUAUAGGUUUGGUGGUUUGUUUUGUUUUGUCGUCCCGUAUGAUUUAAUUGCAGGCUUUGGGAUAGUCCCGCUGCCUGCUAGCAGCAGUGCUCUUCCACCGCAGAGAACUAGUCCCCCUAGUGUGCCUUCGGUGCAGGAAGCGCGCUGCUGCUUGCUGGGAUCCGUCGGGGUGUAUUGUAUUAGACUGCCAGACAGCGUCUGUAUCAUUUCACCGGGGUCAUUCGCAGAAAUAACAGGAAAAUGAGGGGUGAAAGCUUGGAGCCAUUAAAACCCGUGCAGCCGUUCACCAUAAUCAUUUGCUUUUAUUAGUGAAAUGUUACAAGUGGCAAAGCAAUAUUGAGUACGAGUAGAAAGGUGGUAAAAGAGCAAAAGAAUUCUGCCAGGAAAGGAAGAAAGAAAGGAAGAGAGAAAGAAAGAGAGAAAGAAAGAAAGAGAGAAAGAGAGAGAGAAAGAAAGAAAGAGAGAAAGAAAGAAAGAGAGAGAGAAAGAAGGAAAGAAAGAAGGAAAGAAAGAAAGAAAGAAAGAAAGAAAGAAAGAAAGAAAGAAAGAAAGAAAGAAAGAAAAUAGGUGAAUGUUGUGCUUUGUCAACGUUAAAAGUGUGUGCAUCCGAGCAUCCAAACAGUCCUCAAUUACAUCUCUACACACCAACCCCGCAACUGCAUCAUAGGGCCGCCGAGAAGCACAAAUGAAGUGGUGUGAUGAAUGGAGCUGGUGAAGGUGGACUGGAAUGGUAGUGCUAGGUUUAAGUUUUAAACUGACUUUUGCUAUGACUCUUUUGUUUAAGCUGCUAAUGCAGUUUUUUAAGAAUUUCCGCGUUAUUUCCAAAUGUCAGAUAAGACCACAACAUUUUCAACUCUUCUUUAGAAGCCUGGAGGCAGUUCAGUACUAUCAGAGGACGAAUAUGGAGAAUCAGUGUGAAUAUAAAUUCCAUCAUCGUCAGGAAGUCAAAGCAUGACCCAAUCGUCUGUUUAAAUCCCAUUAAUUCACCCUAAUCUCAAGGGCUAAUCAAAUAAAGACAGUCUUCGGGCUUCAGCAGACUCUACGGAAGCACCAAGUAAACAAGUUAUCUGACCCGAAGACACACAGUUGUCCAGUUUCAAAACACUGUAUUUGUAUAUUAAAAUACUCCGAGAGCAGUGUUAGCCUGCAGUCCAGCAUUCAUUUGUCACACAGCUUCAAUAACGAUCCAUUUUCUUGGAAAAUAGUUUUGCAGGGC
rnacentral:lncRNA from 1 species